rnacentral:rRNA from 1 species
AUCGAAUCUUUGAACGCACAUUGCGCCCGCUAGUAUUCUGGCGGGCAUGCCUGUUCGAGCGUCAUU